rnacentral:tRNA from 1 species
GGUUCGAUAGCUCAGCGGGAGAGCGUGCGACUGAAGAUCGCGCGGUCGCUGGUUCGAUCCCGGCUCUGACCA